rnacentral:rRNA from 1 species
AGUGAACGCUGGCGGUAGGCCUAACACAUGCAAGUCGAACGGCAGCACAGUAAGAGCUUGCUCUUACGGGUGGCGAGUGGCGGACGGGUGAGGAAUACAUCGGAAUCUACUUUUUCGUGUGGGCUAACGUAGGGAAACUUACGCUAAUACCGCAUACUACCUACGGGUGAAAGCAGGGGAUCUUCGGACCUUUCGCGAUUGAAUGAGCCGAUGUCGGAUUAGCUAGUUGGCUGGGUAAAGGCCCACCAAGGCGACGAUCCGUAGCUGGUCUGAGAGGAUGAUCAGACAAACUGGAACUGAGACACGGUCCAGACUACUACGGGAGGCAGCAGGGGGGAAUAUUGGACAAUGGGCGCAAGCAUGAUCCAGCCAUACCGCGUGGGUGAAGAAGGCCUUCGGGUUGUAAAGCCCUUUUGUUGGGAAAGAAAAGCAGCAGGUUAAUACCCCGCUGUUCUGACGGUACCCAAAGAAUAAGCACCGGCUAACUUCGUG